GAAUUGACGGGGGCCCGCACAAGCGGUGGAGCAUGUGGUUUAAUUCGAAGCAACGCGAAGAGCCUUACCAGGUCUUGACAUCCCUGGACAGCUGUGGAAACACAGUUUCCCUUCGGGGCCAGGAGACAGGUGGUGCAUGGUUGUCGUCAGCUCGUGUCGUGAGAUGUUGGGUUAAGUCCCGCAACGAGCGCAACCCUUGCCUUUAGUUGCCAUCAUUAAGUUGGGGACUCUAAAGGGACUGCCGGUGACAAAUCGGAGGAAGGAGGGGAUGACGUCAGGUAAGCGUGCCCCUUAUACUCUGGGCGACACACGUGCUACAAUGGAGGGGACAAAGGGAAGCGAAGCCGAGAGGUGGAGCGGAUCCUAAAAAAACUCUCCGAAAUACGGAUUGUAGGCUGCAACCCGCCUACAUGAAGUCGGAAUCGCUAGUAAUCGCAGGUCAGCCAAACUGCGGUGAAUACGUUCCCGGGCCUUGUACACACCG
rnacentral:rRNA from 1 species